rnacentral:rRNA from 1 species
UGGGGAAUUUUGGACAAUGGGCGAAAGCCUGAUCCAGCAAUGCCGCGUGUGUGAAGAAGGCCUUCGGGUUGUAAAGCACUUUUGUCCGGAAAGAAAUCCUCUGGGUUAAUACCUCGGGGGGAUGACGGUACCGGAAGAAUAAGCACCGGCUAACUACGUGCCAGCAGCCGCGGUAAUACGUAGGGUGCAAGCGUUAAUCGGAAUUACUGGGCGUAAAGCGUGCGCAGGCGGUUUUGUAAGACGGAUGUGAAAUCCCCGGGCUUAACCUGGGAACUGCAUUCGUGACUGCAAGGCUAGAGUAUGGCAGAGGGGGGUUAGAAUUCCACGUGUAGCAGUGAAAUGCGUAGAGAUGUGGAGGAAUACCGAUGGCGAAGGCAGCCCCCUGGGCCAAAUACUGACGCUCAUGCACGAAAGCGUGGGGAGCAAACAGGAUUAGAUACCCUGGUAGUCCACGCCCUAAACGAUGUCAACUAGUUGUUGGGGAUUCAUUUCCUUAGUAACGUAGCUAACGCGUGAAGUUGACCGCCU